rnacentral:rRNA from 1 species
GGUUAAGCGACUAAGCGUACACGGUGGAUGCCCUGGCAGUCAGAGGCGAUGAAGGACGUGCUAAUCUGCGAUAAGCGUCGGUAAGGUGAUAUGAACCGUUAUAACCGGCGAUUUCCGAAUGGGGAAACCCAGUGUGUUUCGACACACUAUCAUUAACUGAAUCCAUAGGUUAAUGAGGCGAACCGGGGGAACUGAAACAUCUAAGUACCCCGAGGAAAAGAAAUCAACCGAGAUUCCCCCAGUAGCGGCGAGCGAACGGGGAGGAGCCCAGAGCCUGAAUCAGUGUGUGUGUUAGUGGAAGCGUCUGGAAAGGCGCGCGAUACAGGGUGACAGCCCCGUACACAAAAAUGCACAUACUGUGAGCUCGAUGAGUAGGGCGGGACACGUGGUAUCCUGUCUGAAUAUGGGGGGACCAUCCUCCAAGGCUAAAUACUCCUGACUGACCGAUAGUGAACCAGUACCGUGAGGGAAAGGCGAAAAGAACCCCGGCGAGGGGAGUGAAAAAGAACCUGAAACCGUGUACGUACAAGCAGUGGGAGCCUCUUUAUGGGGUGACUGCGUACCUUUUGUAUAAUGGGUCAGCGACUUAUAUUCUGUAGCAAGGUUAACCGAAUAGGGGAGCCGAAGGGAAACCGAGUCUUAACUGGGCGUUAAGUUGCAGGGUAUAGACCCGAAACCCGGUGAUCUAGCCAUGGGCAGGUUGAAGGUUGGGUAACACUAACUGGAGGACCGAACCGACUAAUGUUGAAAAAUUAGCGGAUGACUUGUGGCUGGGGGUGAAAGGCCAAUCAAACCGGGAGAUAGCUGGUUCUCCCCGAAAGCUAUUUAGGUAGCGCCUCGUGAAUUCAUCUCCGGGGGUAGAGCACUGUUUCGGCAAGGGGGUCAUCCCGACUUACCAACCCGAUGCAAACUGCGAAUACCGGAGAAUGUUAUCACGGGAGACACACGGCGGGUGCUAACGUCCGUCGUGAAGAGGGAAACAACCCAGACCGCCAGCUAAGGUCCCAAAGUCAUGGUUAAGUGGGAAACGAUGUGGGAAGGCCCAGACAGCCAGGAUGUUGGCUUAGAAGCAGCCAUCAUUUAAAGAAAGCGUAAUAGCUCACUGGUCGAGUCGGCCUGCGCGGAAGAUGUAACGGGGCUAAACCAUGCACCGAAGCUGCGGCAGCGACACUAUGUGUUGUUGGGUAGGGGAGCGUUCUGUAAGCCUGCGAAGGUGGCCUGUGAGGGUUGCUGGAGGUAUCAGAAGUGCGAAUGCUGACAUAAGUAACGAUAAAGCGGGUGAAAAGCCCGCUCGCCGGAAGACCAAGGGUUCCUGUCCAACGUUAAUCGGGGCAGGGUGAGUCGACCCCUAAGGCGAGGCCGAAAGGCGUAGUCGAUGGGAAACAGGUUAAUAUUCCUGUACUUGGUGUUACUGCGAAGGGGGGACGGAGAAGGCUAUGUUGGCCGGGCGACGGUUGUCCCGGUUUAAGCGUGUAGGCUGGUUUUCCAGGCAAAUCCGGAAAAUCAAGGCUGAGGCGUGAUGACGAGGCACUACGGUGCUGAAGCAACAAAUGCCCUGCUUCCAGGAAAAGCCUCUAAGCAUCAGGUAACAUCAAAUCGUACCCCAAACCGACACAGGUGGUCAGGUAGAGAAUACCAAGGCGCUUGAGAGAACUCGGGUGAAGGAACUAGGCAAAAUGGUGCCGUAACUUCGGGAGAAGGCACGCUGAUAUGUAGGUGAAGCGACUUGCUCGUGGAGCUGAAAUCAGUCGAAGAUACCAGCUGGCUGCAACUGUUUAUUAAAAACACAGCACUGUGCAAACACGAAAGUGGACGUAUACGGUGUGACGCCUGCCCGGUGCCGGAAGGUUAAUUGAUGGGGUUAGCGCAAGCGAAGCUCUUGAUCGAAGCCCCGGUAAACGGCGGCCGUAACUAUAACGGUCCUAAGGUAGCGAAAUUCCUUGUCGGGUAAGUUCCGACCUGCACGAAUGGCGUAAUGAUGGCCAGGCUGUCUCCACCCGAGACUCAGUGAAAUUGAACUCGCUGUGAAGAUGCAGUGUACCCGCGGCAAGACGGAAAGACCCCGUGAACCUUUACUAUAGCUUGACACUGAACAUUGAGCCUUGAUGUGUAGGAUAGGUGGGAGGCUUUGAAGUGUGGACGCCAGUCUGCAUGGAGCCGACCUUGAAAUACCACCCUUUAAUGUUUGAUGUUCUAACGUUGGCCCCUGAUCGGGGUUGCGGACAGUGUCUGGUGGGUAGUUUGACUGGGGCGGUCUCCUCCUAAAGAGUAACGGAGGAGCACGAAGGUUGGCUAAUCCUGGUCGGACAUCAGGAGGUUAGUGCAAUGGCAUAAGCCAGCUUGACUGCGAGCGUGACGGCGCGAGCAGGUGCGAAAGCAGGUCAUAGUGAUCCGGUGGUUCUGAAUGGAAGGGCCAUCGCUCAACGGAUAAAAGGUACUCCGGGGAUAACAGGCUGAUACCGCCCAAGAGUUCAUAUCGACGGCGGUGUUUGGCACCUCGAUGUCGGCUCAUCACAUCCUGGGGCUGAAGUAGGUCCCAAGGGUAUGGCUGUUCGCCAUUUAAAGUGGUACGCGAGCUGGGUUUAGAACGUCGUGAGACAGUUCGGUCCCUAUCUGCCGUGGGCGCUGGAGAACUGAGGGGGGCUGCUCCUAGUACGAGAGGACCGGAGUGGACGCAUCACUGGUGUUCGGGUUGUCAUGCCAAUGGCACUGCCCGGUAGCUAAAUGCGGAAGAGAUAAGUGCUGAAAGCAUCUAAGCACGAAACUUGCCCCGAGAUGAGUUCUCCCUGACUCCUUGAGAGUCCUGAAGGAACGUUGAAGACGACGACGUUGAUAGGCCGGGUGUGUAAGCGCAGCGAUGCGUUGAGCUAACCGGUACUAAUGAACCGUGAGGCUUAACCUU